rnacentral:lncRNA from 1 species
CAUGGGAGAGGUUGCCGAGAGCAGGGCUGGCAACCUGUUGGGUCCCUGGCAGGUACAAAGAGAAGGAGGGAGGGGGCCGGAGGGGUGCUGGGUGUUGGGGGGAGGAGUGAGUACUUCCCAGCGGGGCUCAUAGCGCUGCCAGAUUCAGUGGAUAGAAAUGCAGGAUGAGGAGUUCCCUUGUGGCUCAGUGGGUUAAGAACCCGACUAGCAUAUGUGAGGAUCUAUGAGGAUUCGGGUUCAAUCCCUGGCCUUGCUCAGUGGGUUAAGGAUGCAGUGUUGCUGCAAGAUGACGUGGCUUGGAUCUGGCGGUGCUGUGGCUCUGACGUAGGCAGCUGCAGCUCCAAUUCAACCCCUAGCUCCGGAAACAUCCAUAGGCCACAGGUGCAGCCGUAAAAAGAAAGAAAAAAGACAUGCAGGAUGCCCAGCUCAAUCUCAGCCUAGCCCCCAGCGUGGCCCAGAAGGACCUCCAACAGAUUAAGGUUUAAACAGAAGAGGACUGGACAAUCUCAACAGAUACAGAAAAGGCGUGUAUGCAGAGGGAACCUGUUACAGGCUGAGCUGCAUUGCCCUCAAGUUCAAGCCUUAACGUCGCAGCCCUGGUCCCUCCGCCCUCCGCUGGCCUCCCCCCCAGGAGGACCCCACCAACAGGGUCCCACUGAAUAAUUACCCUCGGGAUGUGAUGGGCUGACACUGCCUCCUGACGUCGAGGCUGAGAAAGAUGCUCUUUUUCUAUCCCUCAAACGGUCAACUUUUUCGUUUGUUUUUGUUUGUUUUUGCUUUUUUUAAGGCCGCACCCCAGACACAUAGAGGUCCCCAGGCUAAGGGUUGCAUUGGAGCUACAGCUGCCUGCCUACACCACAGCCUCAGCAACGCCAGAUCCAAGUCGCGUCUGAGACCUACACCACAGCUCACAGCAAUGCCGGAUCCUUAACUCACUGAGCAAGGCCAGGGAUCGAACCUGUGGAUGCUAGUCAAAUGGGUUAACCGCUGAGCCAUGCCGGGAAUUCCUGGAUGGUCAAAUUUCCUCACUGCUCUUUCUUUUUCAAAGUCCUGUGUCUGCUUGGGGUGACCUCACGGUAAUUUUCCUAUGGAAGGAGGCUUCUGAGAGGAUAAGGACUCUGACACCUGUUUAGAGAGAGGGGUUCCUGAUUCUGGGGUCCGAGGAGGGCUUCCGAGGGUCUGGGGACCACCUGCAAUUGUCCAGCAAACAAUGCGUCCACGCACACGGAUAGGCAUCUAUUGUCCCCCAAGAAAGGGAGUCGCUAGUUUUCAGCAGAAGUUCAAGGGGAAACUGUAUCCCAGAGAAGAGUAGCAAAUGUUCACGGAGAAGCAGUGGAUACCCGAGGUCCCUGGCCUGGAGCUCAUGACCCCUUAGGGUCUAUGGAGACAAUUCAGGAAGCCCAGGAGCUGAGACCAGGUCAAUUUCGAUCUUUAGUUCAUAGCUAUUUCUCCACUCUAUUAAAACCAUUGCAGGUAUCUCGAAAUAUUCCUAGCACUCGUCAUUCCUCAGAAAUUACGGUGUCUCUAUCACAUCUUUCUGGACUCCACGUUGGUACUCCCCUCCUGUAAGGGAUAAAAACCCCUAUAGGACAAUGUGGGGUGGGGAGGGCUCUUCUUCCGCCUCCCAGCUGUCCUGGGAGCUGUUGCUUUCCUGUCAUAAAGACUUCGCUUGCUUAAAAAAAAAAAUCCAGAAAUCGCGGUGGUUUUAAACCAGCAACUAUGCUGUCUUUAAUGCAUUAAUAAAGAAGCUCAUAUACCCUA